rnacentral:tRNA from 1 species
GCGGGUAUAGCUCAGCUGGUUAGAGUGCCAGGUUGUGGCCCUGGAGGUCGUGGGUUCGAGUCCCAUUACUCGCCCCA